UACGUAGGGUGCAAGCGUUGUCCGGAAUUAUUGGGCGUAAAGAGCUCGUAGGCGGUUUGUCGCGUCUGCCGUGAAAACCCGAGGCUCAACCUCGGGCCUGCAGUGGGUACGGGCAGACUAGAGUGCGGUAGGGGGAGAUUGGAAUUCCUGGUGUAGCGGUGGAAUGCGCAGAUAUCAGGAGGAACACCGAUGGCGAAGGCAGGUCUCUGGGCCACUACUGACGCUGAGAAGCGAAAGCAUGGGGAGCGAACAGG
rnacentral:rRNA from 1 species